rnacentral:lncRNA from 1 species
GGUGACAUGAUUUACUUUAGUCGGGCAAUUUCUCCAUUAAAGCAUGGACGCCUCAGAUUCAUAAGGGCACUGUUGAGCAGAUGAACUGUAACGGAGCCUCACAUUUGUCAUAUCAGGGCUGUAACACCGACAGCGUUAAUCUGAGAGUAUGACCGCCACCUCCAGUCUCCAUUGGUCCUCAUUACUAUUUCUUUUGCUCCAGGGAUGGUCGGUGGCUCAAUUUAACUAGUUUCCUUUCCUGAUGGGGACAGAAACCUGCCCAGCACUGUUUCUGACCAGGCUGCCAGAAGCAUGGAGUCUGUCUUGGGAUUCAUUGACACAAGAGAGAAAUGGUCGGAUGGAGAGACUAGGAGAAAGCAAUCCGGAUACAGAACAGGAUCUCGAGCCCUCAGGUGAAGAGCUGGGGAGACCCAGCCAGGAGGAGAAGAAGCCCAAAGGAGUCUGCUCUGAGAUGGGCAGAACGGGAUGUUUGUGACCAUCGUUCCAGCCCCAAGAUGUGUCUGCGUUUAACAAAGAAGCCUUGAGAACUGAGCUGUCUUCAGCCUGAGAGGAGCAGCAGAUGUAGCUGUAGAAGAAGAUUUUGUAAAUCCAUCCACAUACCGAAAUUAUAAAACAUUUCUACUGAAUCACUUGAGGUAUUAUUAU